rnacentral:lncRNA from 1 species
GCCUCAUUUCACAGUUCCCAUCAUGCAGCCUCAGCCAGAAUCAGGCCUUCCACGUGUUUCACCUUUUGUGUGCCUGAAAAACCCUCUAUGUCACAUUUGAUGCAUUAUGGAGAUCUCUCAUCCUAUCUCUGACUGUCACAGCACAUAGAAUUAAAUAAAAAUAUUAAUAAGUCCAGCAGGGAGAGCCUGGUGUGAAGGCAGAGGGCUGAAGGAAACGCUGCUGCCGCACACCAGCAGAGACGGCGGACUGAGUCUUUAUACAGGGGUUCAUGUGGAUUCCUAAGCAGGAAGAUUGGACGAAUACUAGUAGAUCAGUCAGUGGAGCAGAGUAUUGUGAACUCCAGUGUAAAGAUCCAUAAGCUGCAAAUCUGUACCAAAAGGACCACUGUGCACAGAAUCAUGCCAGCAAAUAUGUGGAGGACAAAGGUAAGGAUUAUGAAGAGGUGUGAAACAGACAGCUAAGUUCUUACAAGUU